AAUUGAGAGAGAGAGAGAGAGUGAGCGACGAGAAAGAGUGAGCGACGAGAGAGAAUGAGAGCGCGAGAGAGAGAGUUCGAUUCUUCUAGUAGCGGCGGCGACAUGAAGAACAAGUCAAGAAGACGAGGAGGACGAUGAUUAUUUACUCAGAUUUAUUUGUUUGGACGAUGAAGAUUCAGAACACCAAAAACGGUGUCCGUCUGUCCGACGUGCUCUUACAGGUAACAAUGAUUGUCCGAGUCUCAUUCAGCAAAAAUCAUAGCCAUCGCAAGGCCACGAGAGAAAGAGAGAGAGAGAGAGAGAGAGAUAUCUCUUUCUCAACUCUACAAAUCGAUUUUGAUUAUUCUCUUUCUACUAUUACAAAGAUGUGUGAAUGUUUUGCUUUUGAAACAAACGCUCUGUUUUUGUUUAUUAAAUCAAUUGGUUUGUUGCUUCUUUUGAGGUGUUGAAACGGAACAGGUGUGUGUUAAACUGUUAAUGUGUUCCAACCCUGACGACGACGUUGACUCAGAUCUUUUUUUCCAAGGACAGUACCAAGUAUAUUCAGACCUAUAACGGUUGCCGGAGGAAGGUGUGUGCGUGCGUGUUCGUGUUCCAACUCUAAUCUGAAUGUUUUGCCUUUUACUCAGGCACGUCGUUCCAUUA